CUAUCUCACGGCGAAUUCGUAAUAAUUCAAACGAUUUAACCAAGUGGCUAAAUCGUAUGAAAUCAUACGAGCUGGCUCGUACGAAAUCGUACGAUUAGUUCAUCGCAUUUAACACAGCCCUGUGUUGCAGGGAUUUCGUGCUAAUUAAUACGAAUAGAUUAAAUCGUACUAUACCAUACGAUUUUGUUCAUCGCAUUCAAGAAGCGUGACCCGUAGCCAGAAAAAAAACUCUGGGUGUGCAUCUGAAACUCUGCGUGUGUCACAGGCAGGCAAGAUAACUAGAAACGCUGGGGAAUUCAGGUGCUGUAAAUCCGGUGGACAGGACUCAUCUCGUUAUAGAUCAAGAUAAUUUAUAAAGAUCUUUAAACGAAGGAUUGGAAUAUCAGAUAGUUGACAUGGAAAGCAAGUUAGUUAAUCUUUUUAAUUAAAAAAAAGGAAAAACGAAAUAAAACUAAUAGCAUACAUUAUUGUUGUUGCGGUGUGUCACGUGACAAUCAUGACCCGUCGCCAUGGACACAAGGGGUCAGAUAAAAUAUUUUUAACUUACGCGUGAAAGGCUUGAUUUUAAAUAUAUAUAUAUAUUUUCUAAGUACACAACAACAGCCCUAGUUUAGUAAAAAAAAAUAUUGAAACUAUAAAUAAAUAUUCUGCAUCCAUUUUAGGUGUGCUACUGUGGGUGGCUCCCGCACACCCGUGGCUACGCCCCUGCCGUGACCCAAAUCUCGUUCGCACAUCAUCGCGAUAUUUAUCAUCUGUUUACAAACGUCGCCACAUCUCGUUUCUUCACAUACAUCUCAUACUCCUCCAUCUACAUGCUCCACAACAUUUAAACCAACGGUUCUUUUAAGAGCCAUCACUUGCAAAAGCUCUCCUACUCACUCACUCACUCACUCACUCACUCUCCAACUCACUCUCCUACUAACUCACUCACUCUCCAACUCACUCACUCUUCUAUAGGGCUGUGCAAAAUAAUCGUCUGUGAUUCUCAUGCGUGUUUCAUCAGUAAAGCCGGUUCCAUGAUUAGAAGUAAAUCGCCAUCAGCUGCUUUCAGAUGGAGCGGCAUUUAUUACACAGAGAAGCUAGGCAAAAUUGCAUAGAUUGUCGGAGUCGGUUUUCCUCGAUUUUAAACCCGGUUUUGCCUAGCUUCUCUGUGAACUACGAGUCUGUGUAGUAAAUGCCGCUCCAUCUGAAAGCAGCUGAUGGCGAUUUACUUCUAAUCACGGAACCGGCUUUACUGAUGAAACGCGCAUGAGAAUCGCAGACGAUUAUUUUGCACAGCCCUACUCUCCUACGCACACACACACACACACACACACACACACACACACACACACACACACACACACACACACACACACACACUCUCUCUCUCUCACUCUCGCCCCUCUCUCUGUUUGUCCCUCUUUCAAUUUGUUUUGCCUAUUUCUCUUUGCAUUCUUUCUUUUCUUCAAUAUGGCAUCUUCAGGUUUUGACCAGUUAUGCCAGGAAGCUGCAACUAUUUCAAAGCAUCUUGAAAUGAAAGCUGACAAUGCUGAACUUGAAGCAGCUACCAGAGAGGCUGAAGAAAUUCUACAAAUGUUCAAUCCUCCACUGCUGAAAAAGAAGACCAAACGAGCGAUUUCCUGGACUCAACAGACACAUUGAACUUUGCACUGCAUUUCAAAGCCAGCUCCUCAGCCGCAACAGCGAGAACCAGAGUUGAGAUCAAUGUACUGCUGAGAAAAGUGCAAGAUCUGUUUAACCAAAAUUAUAGUAAGCAGGAUGCCGGAGGUACUGGAAUGCUCCCCUACCAAUCCCUGGUAAAUCAAGGCAUGACAGUUAAAGUUGCAGGACUGCCCAACAGCCUCAAAAAGCCAUCCUAUUAUGGAAGGAACCAGUUGGAGGCCAUUUUGCAAGCUGCUGAGGAGAUUUCAUUUGAAAUCAAUGUAGCACAAUGCAACUCCACUGACAAAGCAGAAGGAAUGUCAGAGGCGAUGGACGCAGAAGAGCUGGAAGAAAAUUCCUCAGAAACAGCCACUACUGUAGCUAUCGUGAUGACUGCAGAUUAAGAUGGAGGCAAUUUGUGCUGUUUCUGCCGCGUCCUUUCGAUGACAGGAAGAAGAAUGCUUCAAAGAAGUGGCGUUCAUGGUCACAGUGCACAGGGUGCCAAUCAUGGUCACACACUGCAUGUGGUUUUAAAAAAACAUGUGCCUUAAAUGCCAGUGUCAAGACACCAUGCAAAACAGCCUAUAGCGCUGCAUCUAGGGAUGCAUAUCAAUUAAUCGCGAUUAAUCUAUAGCAGAAUAAAAGUUUUUUUUUACAUCAUAUAUGUGUGUGAACUGUGUAUAAUAAUUAUGUAUAUAUAAAUAUGCACACAUGCAUGUAUAAUUUUAAGAAAAAAAUAAUAUAUUUAUAUAUUAAGUAUUUAUAUUUAUAUAUAAUAUAAAUUAUACAUAAAUAUACAAAUGUAUAUACACAUGUAAACAUUGCUUAAAUAUAUACAUGCAUGUGUGUGCAU